rnacentral:lncRNA from 1 species
UGGGCUGAGACCAAGCAGGGAGCUGGGGUUGCAGUGCUGCUCCCGCCUGGCAUUCCUGCUCCUGCCUGGCAUUCCUGCUCCCGCCUGGCAUUCCUGCUCCCGCCUGGCAUUCCUGCUCCCGCCUGGCAUUCCUGCUCCCGCCUGGCAUUCCUGCUCCCGCCUGGCAUUCCGCCUGGCAUUCCCGUUCCUGCCUGGCAUUCCUGCUCCUGCCUGGCAUUCCUGCUCCCGCCUGGCAUUCCUGCUCCCGCCUGGCAUUCCUGCUCCCGCCUGGCAUUCCUGCUCCCGCCUGGCAUUCCUGCUCCCGCCUGGCAUUCCUGCUCCCGCCUGGCAUUCCUGCUCCCGCCUGGCAUUCCUGCUCCCGCCUGGCAUUCCUGCUCCCGCCUGGCAUUCCUGCUCCCGCCUGGCAUUCCUGCUCCCGCCUGGCAUUCCUGUCCUGUUCCCACCUUGCAUUCCUGUCCUGUUCCCACCUUGCAUUCCUGUCCUGUUCCCGCCUGGCAUUCCUGUCCUGUUCCUCCCUGGCAUUCCUGUCCUGUUCCUCCCUGGUAUUCCCGUUCCUGCCUGGCAUUCCUGUCCCGUUCCUGCCUGGCAUUCCCGUUCCUGCUCCCUGACCUCCGCCCCGCCGGGCGCUGCCCCGCGCUGAGGCAAAGGCCGAGUGUCCCUCGGGCUCCCGGCUGCAGUUCCUCAGCACAUUCCAGCAGCUGUCCCCGUCUCACCCAGAGCCCAGCUGGAGCUCACUCGUCAUGCAGGAACUGUCUUUCUCUUUCCCUCAAUGCUGUCUCAGAGAGCCAAAAUCGAAUUCCAUGCUGGGACUUGCAGCGGCCCUGCCCUGCCUCUCCCCUGGGGAGCUCAAAGCUCCUGCGGGUACCAAACUCUGCAGCCAAUGCAGGGCUUGACUGCAGCUGUGACCCUUUUGGUGGGCCAAGGUGCAGGGGCACGCAGGGACCUCCCUGGACAGCAGGCAGGGGACCGAGGGGACAAGAGCGUCCGCAGCAGCCCCCGGGCACAGCCGGAGGCCCCAAGCACAUUCCUAACUCACACCUCCUGCAAAACACCGGGUGCCUGGAGCCCACCAUCAACAUAUGGAUGGCAGAGGAGGGAACACCAGGAGGCUUAAAGAGAGAAAGCAGGAAUUAA